CAGGAGGAGGCCCAGAAGAUGCAGUUCCUGCAGACCAUCUGCACCCUGUGCAAAGCUGCCAGAUAUGAGGGCUUCUCACAGGAGCUGAAGGAGUUCUACCACGAGUUCCAGGUGGCAGAGAAGAUCCAGGCACUGGUGGAAGAGGAGGCCACAGACCAGCUGCACGUGGCAGUGCGGCAGCAAGCCAUACUUGCCAUCGCCUGAUUGAGCAAGGUGGAGAUGGCACUGGAGGGCCACAAGAAAAGCCUCUUAGAGGUCUGCUUUAGGAGCAUCUUCUUCCUUCCCACCAAAGCAGACAUGGAGGGCCUUGAUGCUACUCUCUACUUCAGGGUAAGUGCUGGGGUGCUGCCAGAAGGCCUCAGGGCUGCUCCCUGGCUGCCACGUGCCAUGACUGUGAGCCUGGCUGCUGCAGGACUGGCCUGGGCACCAUGUGGUGGAUGAGACACCCCUGCUGACAUAGUGCUCUGGGCCUGCAGUGCUGCUCUGGCCAUGCAGGAUGUGCUGCUGUCCCAGCCCCACACUUUGGAGAAGGCCUUGACAGAGCUGGGCAGGAAGCUCCAGGACCAGCGGCUGCGCAGGACAUGCAGCACCAGCACAGAGGAGGCCUGCAUCGAGCACUUGGCUGUGAGUAACAAGAGCAGUCCUUGCUCACCCUCGGGGCUGUGCCUGCCUCUCCAGGAAAACAGGCACAGCCCUGUCCCCUGCUGUCUGCCCCGAAACAGCCACCUCCUCCAGGACAUGGGGACACAGCCACUUAGGGCCAUCCCAGCAAUGGGUUCCCUGGCGCCAGCCACCCAGGGCCACACCAUGCUGCUUGAGAGCAAGAGCGGAAAGCCCAGGCAGUCCCUGUCUGCCCAGGCAGUGCUCUGCUUGCCCCACCCGUGCUUCCCUUUGCCCUGCUCUGCAGACUCGAGACCUGGGGCAGGGCAAGGGCUGGGACAAGGGCAGAGACCCCUGUGGCCUCUGCGCAGACUGAGCGGGCUGCGAAGUUGGGCACAGGAGGCAUCGUCGCUUCCUUUGUGCCAGCUCUUGCUCUUGGAUGCCUCCUCAGAGGAGUGCGAGCAAAACGCUGCUGAUGCUGAGAGCACACGCGGAGCUGGCACAGACAAAUGUGUUUUGUGCAGUGAGUGGGAGAGGGAAGCCAGGCCGAACUCCUGCCUGCGGGAGAGGGUAUCUAAACACCUGCUGGACUCUGCAGGGCAGGAUCCAUCCUUCCCUUGCUCCCUGGGCUCCCUUCACUGCUGGUAUCUCCACUCAGCAUGCCCACAGCACUGAGACACCAAACCUGAGCCAAAAGCCCCUGUACCAUGCAGAAGGGUUAACAGUCUGCUCACUCCCUCUCUGCUUCAGGGAGCUUUGUUCAUUGGAGUAUUAAAUUCCACAGCUGUAAAUAAUCUGCAGCAGGAGCGAUUAUCAAGGCCUUGGGAAGAAGCAGCUUUUAUUAAUAAGAUCAGCUCUCCCUGCAAAGCAUCACGUAGUCGCUCUCCACCCUUUCCUCGCUGUCUCGCCAGGCAUUGCUGAGGACAUUGGCACAGGUUCCCCACCUCCAUCCCGUGCCACCCAUCCUCCCUUCAUCUCGCUGGUGCUGAUCGGCAAGUAGAGCUCUUCAGAGCGACUGGUGGUGUGGGCUAGAAAUACUCCCCACUUCGCCUCAAAUACAGCUGUGGCUUCACAUGGCCGGGCUGCCUCUGGCUGAGGUGGGGAGGUGGUGGGACACGUCCUUGCUGUGACAGGAGCAUGGCGCUGCUCACUAUCACCUGCCCCUGUGCCAGGCUGGAGGC